CAGGCGGCCCAAAAGAUUAUGUAUUAACAGUAAGGCCCAAGGCCAUGGACACAAGAGUGAACCCAAACCCAUCCCCAUCUAGAACGAUUAUCCCUAGCAAUCAAUGAACAUCCGUUGAUAACUGUUCAGUAGCAGUUAGCAAUGGAUGUAAGUUCUCCUUCCGGUGAUCAACCGAAGCUGAUGAUGACACGAAUCACCCGCACAAUCAGUCCGGAGGUCAUGGCGGUGGCCGGAGAGGAGUAGCAAUCAGGCUUCAUUCCUAUGCAAGUGUAGAAAUAGUUUCUUUCUUCGAAAUUUUGAGUGAUCCUGCAAUGGGCAACAAGCUUCAGCAUCUUUGAUUGUGAUGAAGGUAAGGAAGCUAUAUUGUCGGAUGCACAACAAUCUUAGACUUGCUAGACCACUUGGAGUAUUUUUGCUAUGUUAGAAUAUGCACAUGUUUGCAUAUCACACUUCUUUUUGGUUGUUAUGUCAAGAUAUGUAUUUCUUGUUCAAACUAUGUAAUAUGCACUUAAGUGCACCUUUUGUUACUCUUAGAAUGUGUUGUAAUGAGGCCAAGGGCCAAAGACACUUAUGGGACAUGUCUGUUAAUUUUAACUUCAUUGUUGCCUAUGGGAGAUAUGUGAUUUAAUGUAUUGAAGGGUCAUAUUUUGUAUAUGAUA